rnacentral:rRNA from 1 species
GACGAACGCUGGCGGCGUGCUUAACACAUGCAAGUCGAACGGUAAGGCCCUUCGGGGUACACGAGUGGCGAACGGGUGAGUAACACGUGGGCGAUCUGCCCUGCACUUCGGGAUAAGCCUGGGAAACUGGGUCUAAUACCGGAUAGGACCACUGCCUGCAUGGGUGGUGGUGGAAAGCUUUUGCGGUGUGGGAUGGGCCCGCGGCCUAUCAGCUUGUUGGUGGGGUGAUGGCCUACCAAGGCGACGACGGGUAGCCGGCCUGAGAGGGUGACCGGCCACACUGGGACUGGGAUACGGCCCAGACUCCUACGGGAGGCAGCAGUGGGGAAGAUUGCACGAUGGGCGCAAGCCUGAUGCAGCGACGCCGCGUGAGGGAUGACGGCCUUCGGGUUGUAAACCUCUUUCAGCACCGACGAAGCGCAAGUGACGGUAGGUGCAGAAGAAGGACCGGCCAACUACGUGUCAGCAGCCGCAGUAA